AGAGUUUGAUCCUGGCUCAGAGCGAACGCUGGCGGCAGGCCUAACACAUGCAAGUCGAGCGCCGUAGCAAUACGGAGCGGCAGACGGGAGAGUAACACGUGGGAACGUGCCCUUCAGUUCGGAACAACCCAGGGAAACUUGGGCUAAUACCGGAUACGUCCGUAAGGAGAAAGAUUUAUCGCUGAAGGAUCGGCCCGCGUCUGAUUAGCUUGUUGGUGAGGUAACGGCUCACCAAAGCGACGAUCAGUAGCUGGUCUGAGAGGAUGAUCAGCCUCACUGGGACUGAGACACGGCCCAGACUCCUACGGGAGGCAGCAGUGGGGAAUAUUGGACAAUGGGCGCAAGCCUGAUCCAGCCAUGCCGCGUGGAUGAUGAAGGCCCUAGGGUUGUAAAGUCCUUUCGGCGGGGAUGAUAAUGACGGUACCCGCAGAAGAAGCCCCGGCUAACUUCGUGCCAGCAGCCGCGUAAUAC
rnacentral:rRNA from 1 species